rnacentral:tRNA from 1 species
UUAAUUGAAGCCAAAUAGAGGCAUAUUACUGUUAAUAAUACCAAUGAACUAAAUAUUCCAAUUAAAG